rnacentral:rRNA from 1 species
UACCAGCUCUCCGAGUGGUAGGGAUGAUUAUUGGGCUUAAAGCGUCCGUAGCCGGCUUAGCAAGUCUCCUGUUAAAUUCAGCGACCUAAUCGUUGAGCCGCGGGAGAUACUACUAGGCUAGGAGGCGGGAGAGGUCAACGGUACUUCCGGGGUAGGGGUGAAAUCCUAUAAUCCCGGGAGGACCACCAGUGGCGAAGGCUGUUGACUAGAACGCGCUCGACGGUGAGGGACGAAAGCUGGGGGAGCGAACCGGAUUAGAUACCCGGGUAGUCCCAGCUGUAAACGAUGCGAGCUAGGUGUUGGGGUGGCUACGUGCCACUUCAGUGCCGCAGGGAAGCCAUUAAGCUCGCCGCCUGGGGAGUACGGCCGCAAGGCUGAAACUUAAAGGAAUUGGGCGGGGGAGCACCACAAGGCGUGAAGCUUGCGGUUC